AUGUGAUGAAGGCAUUUGCAUAGUAGUUCUAUAAAUCUUUCCCAUGCCUCAUAUAGGGAUUCAUCGUCUAAUUUCUUAAAGCUUGUGAUCUCAUUCCUUAACAU
rfam:Gossypium arboreum cultivar AKA8401 contig_24408_3, whole genome shotgun sequence.